AGCGAACGCUGGCGGCAGGCCUAACACAUGCAAGUCGAACGGACCCUUCGGGGUUAGUGGCGGACGGGUGAGUAACACGUGGGUGAUCUGCCCUGCACUUCGGGAUAAGCCUGGGAAACUGGGUCUAAUACCGGAUAGGACCACUGCCUGCAUGGGUGGUGGUGGAAAGCUUUUGCGGUGUGGGAUGGGCCCGCGGCCUAUCAGCUUGUUGGUGGGGUGAUGGCCUACCAAGGCGACGACGGGUAGCCGGCCUGAGAGGGUGACCGGCCACACCGGGACUGAGAUACGGCCCAGACUCCUACGGGAGGCAGCAGUGGGGAAUAUUGCACAAUGGGCGCAAGCCUGAUGCAGCGACGCCGCGUGAGAGAUGACGGCCUUCGGGUUGUAAACCUCUUUCAGCACCGACGAAGCGCAAGUGACGGUAGGUGCAGAAGAAGGACCGGCCAACUACGUGCCAGCAGCCGCCGUAACAC
rnacentral:rRNA from 1 species